UACGUAGGGGGGCUAGCGUUGUCCGGAAUCAUUGGGCGUAAAGAGCGUGUAGGCGGCUCGGUAAGUCCGCUCUGAAAGCCCGGGGCUCAACCCCGGGAGGCGGGCGGAUACUGUCGGGCUAGAGUCCGGAAAGAGGCGAGUGGAAUUCCUGGUGUAGCGGUGAAAUGCGCAGAUAUCAGGAAGAACACCUAUGGCGAAGGCAGCUCUCUGGGGACGGUACUGACGCUAGACGCGAAAAGCGUUGGUGAGCGAAC
rnacentral:rRNA from 1 species